rnacentral:rRNA from 1 species
UACGUAGGGUGCGAGCGUUGUCCGGAAUUAUUGGGCGUAAAGAGCUUGUAGGUGGUUUGUCGCGUCUGCUGUGAAAUCCGAGGCUCAACCUCGGACUUGCAGUGGGUACGGGCGGGCUAGAGUUCGGCAGGGGAGACUGGAAUUCCUGGUGUAGCGGUGGAAUGCGCAGAUAUCAGGAGGAACACCGGUGGCGAAGGCGGGUCUCUGGGCCGAUACUGACGCUGAGAAGCGAAAGCGUGGGGAGCGAACAGG